rnacentral:rRNA from 1 species
UGGGUACGGCGGCGUGCUAUACAUGCAAGUCGUACGCACUGGCCCAACUGAUUGAUGGUGCUUGCACCUGAUUGACGAUGGAUCACCAGUGAGUGGCGGACGGGUGAGUAACACGUAGGUAACCUGCCCCGGAGCGGGGGAUAACAUUUGGAAACAGAUGCUAAUACCGCAUAACAACAAAAGCCACAUGGCUUUUGUUUGAAAGAUGGCUUUGGCUAUCACUCUGGGAUGGACCUGCGGUGCAUUAGCUAGUUGGUAAGGUAACGGCUUACCAAGGCGAUGAUGCAUAGCCGAGUUGAGAGACUGAUCGGCCACAAUGGAACUGAGACACGGUCCAUACUCCUACGGGAGGCAGCAGUAGGGAAUCUUCCACAAUGGGCGCAAGCCUGAUGGAGCAACACCGCGUGAGUGAAGAAGGGUUUCGGCUCGUAAAGCUCUGUUGUUGGAGAAGAACGUGCGUGAGAGUAACUGUUCACGCAGUGACGGUAUCCAACCAGAAAGUCACGGCUAACUACGUGCCAGCAGCCGCGGUAAUACGUAGGUGGCAAGCGUUAUCCGGAUUUAUUGGGCGUAAAGCGAGCGCAGGCGGUUGCUUAGGUCUGAUGUGAAAGCCUUCGGCUUAACCGAAGAAGUGCAUCGGAAACCGGGCGACUUGAGUGCAGAAGAGGACAGUGGAACUCCAUGUGUAGCGGUGGAAUGCGUAGAUAUAUGGAAGAACACCAGUGGCGAAGGCGGCUGUCUGGUCUGCAACUGACGCUGAGGCUCGAAAGCAUGGGUAGCGAACAGGAUUAGAUACCCUGGUAGUCCAUGCCGUAAACGAUGAGUGCUAGGUGUUGGAGGGUUUCCGCCCUUCAGUGCCGGAGCUAACGCAUUAAGCACUCCGCCUGGGGAGUACGACCGCAAGGUUGAAACUCAAAGGAAUUGACGGGGGCCCGCACAAGCGGUGGAGCAUGUGGUUUAAUUCGAAGCUACGCGAAGAACCUUACCAGGUCUUGACAUCUUGCGCUAACCUUAGAGAUAAGCGUUCCCUUCGGGGACGCAAUGACAGUGGUGCAUGGUCGUCG